CGCAAGCCUGACGGAGCAACGCCGCGUGAGGGAUGAAGGCCUCUGGGCUGUAAACCUCUUUUAUCAAGGAAGAAGAUCUGACGGUACUUGAUGAAUAAGCCACGGCUAAUUCCGUGCCAGCAGCCGCGGUAAUACGGGAGUGGCAAGCGUUAUCCGGAAUUAUUGGGCGUAAAGCGUCCGCAGGCGGUCUUACAAGUCUGUCGUUAAAGCGUGGAGCUUAACUCCAUUUCGGCGAUGGAAACUGUAAGACUAGAGUGUGGUAGGGGCAGAGGGAAUUCCCGGUGUAGCGGUGAAAUGCGUAGAUAUCGGGAAGAACACCAGUGGCGAAGGCGCUCUGCUGGGCCAUAACUGACGCUCAUGGACGAAAGCUAGGGGAGCGAAAGGGAUUAGAUACCCCUGUAGUCCUAGCCGUAAACGAUGAACACUAGGUGUCGGGGGAAUCGACCCCCUCGGUGUCGUAGCCAACGCGUUAAGUGUUCCGCCUGGGGAGUACGCACGCAAGUGUGAAACUCAAAGGAAUUGACGGGGGCCCGCACAAGCGGUGGAGUAUGUGGUUUAAUUCGAUGCAACGCGAAGAACCUUACCAGGGUUUGACAUCCUGCGAAUCCCUUGGAAACUUGGGAGUGCCUUCGGGAGCGCAGUGACAGGUGGUGCAUGGCUGUCGUCAGCUCGUGUCGUGAGAUGUUGGGUUAAGUCCCGCAACGAGCGCAACCCACGUCUUUAGUUGCCAGCAUUUAGUUGGGCACUCUAGAGAGACCGCCGGUGAUAAACCGGAGGAAGGUGUGGAUGACGUCAAGUCAUCAUGCCCCUUACAUCCUGGGCUACACACGUACUACAAUGCUACGGACAAAGGGCAGCAAACUCGCGAGAGCUAGCCAAUCCCAUAAACCGUGGCUCAGUUCAGAUCGUAGGCUGCAACUCGCCUACGUGAAGGAGGAAUCGCUAGUAAUCGCAGGUCAGCAUACUGCGGUGAAUACGUUCCCGGGCCUUGUACACACCGCCCGUCACACCAUGGAAGUUGGCCACGCCCGAAGUCGUUACUCCAACCCUUGUGGAGGAGGAUGCCGAAGGUGGGGUUGAUGACUGGGGUGAAGUCGUAACAAGGUAGCCGUACCGGAAGGUGCGGCUGGAUCACCUCCUAACAGGGAGACA
rnacentral:rRNA from 1 species